rnacentral:rRNA from 1 species
UGCCAGCAGCCGCGGUAAUACGGAGGGGGCGAGCGUUAUUCGGAAUUAUUGGGCGUAAAGCGCGUGUAGGCGGUUCGUUAAGUCUGUUGUGAAAUCCCGGGGCUCAACCCCGGAACUGCAAUCGAAGCUGCCUCGCUAGAGUCCCGGAGAGGAAGGCGGAAUUCCCGGUGUAGAGGUGAAAUUCGUAGAUAUCGGGAGGAACACCAGUGGCGAAGGCGGCCUUCUGGACGGUGACUGACGCUGAGACGCGAAAGCGUGGGGAGCAAACAGGAUUAGAUAC